rnacentral:rRNA from 1 species
AUACGGAAGGUCCAAGCGUUAUCCGGAUUCAUUGGGUUUAAAGGGUCCGCAGGCGGGAAAAUAAGUCAGUGGUGAAAGCCUACAGCUCAACUGUAGAACUGCCAUUGAUACUGUUUUUCUUGAGUAUAGAUGAAGUGGGCGGAAUAUAUCAUGUAGCGGUGAAAUGCAUAGAUAUGAUAUAGAACACCGAUUGCGAAGGCAGCUCACUAAACUAUUACUGACGCUCAGGGACGAAAGCGUGGGGAGCGAACAGGAUUAGAAACCCCAGUAGUCC